rnacentral:rRNA from 1 species
AAAGAAACUAACAAGGAUUCCCCUAGUAACUGCGAGUGAAGCGGGAAAAGCUCAAAUUUAAAAUCUGGUGGUCUUUGGCCAUCCGAGUUGUAAUUUAGAGAAGCGUCUUCCGCGCUGGACCAUGCACAAGUCUCCUGGAAUGGAGCGUCAUAGAGGGUGAGAAUCCCGUCUUUGGCAUGGACCCCAGGGCUUCUGUGAUACGCUCUCAAAGAGUCGAGUUGUUUGGGAAUGCAGCUCAAAAUGGGUGGUGAACUCCAUCUAAAGCUAAAUAUUGGCGAGAGACCGAUAGCGAACAAGUACCGUGAGGGAAAGAUGAAAAGCACUUUGGAAAGAGAGUGAAACAGUACGUGAAAUUGUUGAAAGGGAAACGCUUGAAGUCAGUCGCGUCGACCGAGACUCAGCCUUGCUUCGGCUUGGUGUACUUCUCGGGCUGACGGGUCAGCAUCAAUUUCGAUCCUUGGAUAAUGGCWWGGGAAAGGUAGCACCUUUACRGGUGUGUUAUAGUCCUCUGUCGSAUGCAAGGGUGGGGAUUSAGGAACUCAGCACGCGCCUUGUAGGUGUCGGGGCCU